GGCUGGGUCUGUUGAGAGAUUCUGCAAUAGUCUUGGUUUGAUGCUUAGGAGUUUAGACUUAGACUCAAACCUUGCUUGGUGAAGAGUUUUUGCUGGGACCAUUGAUCUACUUGCGGGCCCGUCUCCAGCUUCAUCUCUCAUCACUGACUCCCUGAUGCUCCCUGGCUGCCUUGCUAUUCCCAGGACCAGAGACCAGCAGGCAAAUGGACAGAUGGACGGGCGGAUGGAUGAAUCAGUGGAUGGACGGACAGGAGGAGCCUCCAGGAACUGAGGAUGCAAGCCUGUGCUGCUGACACUAGCACUUCCGGUGGACACCCUCCUCCAGUGGCAGAGAGUGUAGAACACCUGGCCCCUGGGUAUCUGCACCCCACAGCCUGCCCCAGCCCUCAGGUCCCCUCCGGAGACCCAGGGUGACGUCAGCAGGAACUGGAAAUGAGUCAGAGGGGCCUUGGUUCAGAUUCCACCUCUGCCACUUACCGGCUCUGUGGUCCUGGGUAUAUGCAUGAGCACUCUGAGCCUCAGUUUUCUUAUCU
ensembl:lncRNA